rnacentral:rRNA from 1 species
GUCUACGGCCAUACCACCCUGAAUGUGCCCGAUCUCAUUUGAUCUCGGAAGCUAAGCAGGGUUGAGCCUGGUUAGUACUUGGAUGAGAGAAAUUAUAAAUUGUUCAUC